UCUUUACACUAACAGCUCCAAAUUUUGUGCCUUAAAAAUUCAUCUUAUGGAAUUCUUUUUACAGUUUCACAUUUUUUCAUAGGCAUGGCCUGGACGAGAGAUUGAGAUGAUGGUGGCUCUUCCUGAGGGAACAGAGACAUGAGUAAUUUUGAAGGCAAGAGUGUCCUCUUUCUGAGGAAACCGAGUUCCAUAAAAGAAACAGAAUCCAGAGUUGAACAAGUCCAAGAUAGUUGGAGGCUUGGAGCAGAAGACAUCUAAUUCAUCUGAAUCUUUCUGUCUAUUUUUAAUAUUCUCCAAAAGAGAAGACUAAAAAAAUAUAUCUUAUUUUAUAGGUUGAGUAUCAAGCCAAGUACAAACUGCUUUAUGUGUGUAUACUGAAAUUAAAACCAUCUUUUUGACU